rnacentral:rRNA from 1 species
GACGAACGCUGGCGGCGUGCCUAAUACAUGCAAGUCGAACGCAGUGGGGACGGGUGAGUAACACGUGGGUAACCUCCCAUCAGAGGGGAUAACACUUGGAAACAGGUGCUAAACCGAUACUGAUGGAUGGACCCGCGGUGCUGUGGCUAGUUGGUGAGGUAACGGCUCACCAAGGCCACGAUGCAUAGGGGACUGGGGAGGGUACACGGCCAAACGGGGAGUGAGACAGGGCCCAGAUCCCAACGGGGGGAGUAAGGGGGGAUUUUUCGGAAAGGGACGAAAGUCUGACCGGGCAACGCCGCGUGAGUGAAGAGGGUUUUCGGAUGGUAAAUCUCUGUUGUUAGAGAAGCGGUAUCUAACCAGAAGGCCACGGCUAACCACGUGCCAGCGCCGCGGUAAUAC